UACAGAGGUCUCAAGCGUUGUUCGGAUUCAUUGGGCAUAAAGGGUGCGUAGGUGGCGCUGUAAGUCGGGUGUGAAAUUUCGGAGCUUAACUCCGAAACUGCAUUCGAUACUGCGGUGCUUGAGGACUGGAGAGGAGACUGGAAUUUAUGGUGUAGCAGUGAAAUGCGUAGAGAUCAUAAGGAAGACCAGUGGCGAAGGCGGGUCUCUGGACAGUUCCUGACACUGAGGCACGAAGGCCAGGGGAGCAAACGGG
rnacentral:rRNA from 1 species